AGAGCUGUGACAUUAUGAUACGGGCGGUUUGAUGAUUGGAUUAGACUUUGAGCAGCGUAUUAGUGGCUCUUUGCAUGUGAAAGAGAGUUGCUGACAGUUACCAGCGUCUCUAAGUAAGGGAUAAUGUACGUAGUCUGACGGUCAUUAUAGCAAAAUAAACCCCGAGUCUUGUAUCACCCUGAAGGAGUUUAUUUUGUGCUAAUGACCAGCUUACUGCACAUUAUCCAACUUAUUACAUGGCUACUUAACAACUAAAUAAAUAAAUAGACAUAGAAAUUUAAUUUGAGGUGAAAUUGCUUUGUUUACUUGUAGAGGCCAUGGAGAGACAACUAAAAUAUUUAGGAUAUGUAGGUUUCCUGGAUGAGCAUUCAGUUAUACAGUGUUGCCAUGGGCAAUAGCAUAUUUCAGAAAUAGCUGACUAUUAUUUUUAAUCAAUUUUAUGUAAAGCACUUGGAAUUACCAUUGUUUAUAAAAUGUGCUAUGCAAUUAAAUGUGACAUUAUUAUUAUUAUUAUUAUUAUUAAUGGGCAGAAAUCAGGAGAUACACAUACACUACUGUUCAAAAGUUGUUUUUUUGAAAAAAAAGACUAAUACUUUUAUUCAGCAAAGAUGUAUUAAAAUUAUCAAAAGUGACAGUAAAGACCUUAUAAUGUUACAAAAGAUUUCUAUUUUGAAUCAGUGCUGUUAUUUUGAACUUUCUGUUUAUCAAAGAAUCCUGAAAAAAAAAAGUAUCACGGUUUCCACUAGUGUUGUAGUAGGCUACUCGAGAUCGAUCUCAAGACUAUUUUUUGAAAGUUUUGUUUUUUUCUCGGUCUCGACCGCAUUUGUACUCUGUCUUGUCUCGGGUUCAGACUAAGAGGAUUCUGGAUUUUAUUUAAGACAUGAAAUAAAAGGGAGUGAAAAUGUAAAGUCGAUGUCCCUAAAAUAACAGACCGGCAUGCAUCUAAUAAAUUAUUAAGUCAAGAAUGUUGUGCAAGUUUACUGCAAUAAUGGAGCCAUGAACUUCACAUACUUUUGAAAAUCCAGUGUUUAUUUGAUCCUGGAAAACACUCAUUGUCACAGCUGUAAACACGGACGCUUUCCUCUUCCACAAGAGGGUUUGGUGUGACGGCAUUUGUUUCCAGACAGACCGUUAAAGAACGUGACACAACACGUCUCCCGGACAUCCUGUAGAAUUCAACCAACCAGAUGACGACUUCAAAAAUCCUGAAGUGUUUCCAGAUAAGUGUACCAUAUGCAUCAGACAUUCAGCCAACGGUCCGUGGGUGUGACAUCUGAAGCUGAGAAUAGGGGGUGACUAGUUACAUGUAACGUAGUUACGUAAUUUAAUUACAAAAUAAAUGCAUUACACUUUAUUUUAAGGUGUCUUUGUUACACUGUAAUUAUACAUUUAAGUACUGAGUAAUACUAAGUAACUUCAUGUAAAUUACUGUAGGGUUAGGAUUAGGGUUUGGUUUUGUUUAGGGUUAGUUGCAUGUAAUUAUGCAUAAUUUAUAAUUACUGCUAUAGUAACUACAUGUUACAUAUGUAACAAUGACACUGUAAAAUAAAGUGUUACCAAUAAAUGUAGAUUAAUUGUACUGAAAGCAACUUCUUGAAUGUAAUUUCAAGAACAGUAUCAUAGCUAUUAAACUAUUUCUUGUUAUGAUUUCAAAUCUGUAUUUAACCUCAGAAUGAUCUCUGAGUAAAAAGAGGCGCUAAAGUCUGAUUUUGUGGUGGCUGUGCUUUAAAAUUAAAUUAUUAUAAUCUUAAUUCAAGUGAUGAAGGAUUUUGAAACUGUAAGGUUAACCUUGCCUAGUUUAAAUGUUUGAAAAUGGUUAACACUUGAGACUAUUAGUUAGAAAUUUAGAAAAGUAAUCAGUUACAUUAUUUUAAUAAAGUAAUUGAAAUAGUUACACUACUUAUUACAUUUUAAAUAGGGUAACUUGUAAUCUGUAACCCAUUACAUUUCCAAAGUAACCUUCCCAACUCUGGUUACUGCAGUACCGGGUCAGAAAUCAGCAGGAAUGUGUCAAAAUGCCACCAAAAUUAAUGUCAUGAUUUCUGUCCUGUGUUCCCUUGAUCUUGUGUGGACUUUCGUUAUUUCCUGUUUCACGCCAUGUUUUGUAGUCCUUUGUAGUUUUUCUUGUUGAUUAGUUCUUUGAUUGUUCCCAGGUGUGUCUUGUUUGCCUAUUACACUAUGGCUUAGGCUUAGGCCAGACAGGGCUUUAGGCUAAGCCAGGAUUAGGCCUUAGUUCAAUUAAGAUAUUUAAGUAGCUUUUAUAAACGUACCCUAGAAAAAAACAUUACUGGUGUGCAUCUUGAUUUUUAUAUUAUAACAUGUUGUAUAAUUAGGCAAUAUCACAAGAGCAAGAAAGCUUCUUUCACAAAUAUGAGCAGGACUGUAAAUGAUUAAUUAAUUUUAUACAAAUGUUCAAUAUUUUUGAAUCAUUAAAGGGAUAGUUCACCCAAAAAUAAAAAUUCUGUCAUCAUUUACUCACCCUCAAGUUAUUCCAAAACUAUAUGAGUUUCUUUCUUCUGUUGAACACAAAAGAAUAUAUUUUAAAGAAUGCUGGUAACCUGACAGUUGAUAGCACCCGUUGACUUCCAUAGUAGGGACUUUAAGCAGCAGCUGCUGAUACAACGGCAACGGCAUUCUGGCGUUCUGUUGCGCAUGCGCAAACUUAACUGCUAUUUCUUGACGUUCUACUGUAACCGUCUACUAUGGGAGAAUAGCCGAUUUGCCGUAGUCGAUAAUACGUGACAGAUUAGUAGAAAGAAACUCAUAUAGGUUUGGAACAACUUGAGGGUAGAACCAACAAGAAUCUGCAUCUGAAAUGCUGUUGUCAUGGAGACUAGUUACUGUCAUGUGGACAGGCCAGUGGGGACUGCUGUUGGGAUCAAUAGGCGAUCUGAAGACAGAAUGUUUUCUUUCAUUCCAGACCGUGUGCCAGCGUGGGGCUCUCUCUACCCUUCAAUUGUGAUGGAGGAACUCGGAAGAGACCAUUUUAGCUCUCACAACAGCUGAACUAGGGGAGGGCAGAUAUGUGAGUGAGUGAGCUCUCCUGUUUUAGCAAAAUUGGUUAAAAUUGGUCCCCUUGAAGAGCAAGUCAAAGAGAUAUGUGAAGCAUGCACUAAAGUGCCUUUUCUUUUUUUUUCUUCUUUUUUUUUCUUUUUUGGUGCAGGGCGGUCUUCUGCCUAUUCCUCAGAGUGAUAUGUAUUCACUGUAGGCUGUUUCAUAAACUGCUCAUGGGAGCUUCAAAAGCCAACUGAUUUAUGCCUGUCAGCGUGUGUAGAAUGUGCUAUCUUCUGCUGCGUGUGAUUGCGUGUGUGUGUGAGAAAGAGACAGAAGUGUUCCAGUCUGGGGAAAGUACUGACCACUCUAAUUAUCCUCUAUUUUCUUCAAACAUGGCGGAGCUUUUGUGCGCUUGUCUCCUGAGAUUCGCUCCCCCUUCUCAUUUUCUUUGAGAUUCAAUUCCACUUCAUCCCUCUCUGUCUUCUACAUAUAAAACACCUUCUUCAAUUAUUCCGCUGACGUUCAUAUCUGUAUUAUUUGACGGCCAGGUCCGGUCAAAGGGGCCGUUCGCCUCACUAUCCUGUCAGUGACUACAAUCAAUCUGAGAAAAAGGCCCAUUUUCUCAGCAUCUGUGUGUGACAGAGAGAGAGAUAGCAAGAGUUAUCAUAAGUACAAACUGAAAAGGUAAGAGAGAGCAAAGGAAAAGAGAGUCCCCCCCCCUCCCCAAAGUUGUUAGGCGGCACCCCUGAAUAAACGUCCAUCUUUACGCACUAUGAAUCUUGGCGGCUCAUCUUGUGUUGUGCUGCAGAGAAGCAGGGUCAUGUGAUUUCACCCUGACAGAGUUUAUAUAAUG